GAUGAACGCUGGCGGCGUGCUUAACACAUGCAAGUCGAACGGUGAAGGUGGAGCUUGCUCUGCUGGAUCAGUGGCGAACGGGUGAGUAACACGUGAGCAAUCUGCCCCUGACUCUGGGAUAAGCGCUGGAAACGGCGUCUAAUACUGGAUACGAGCUGCGAAGGCAUCUUCAGCAGCUGGAAAGAAUUUCGGUCAGGGAUGAGCUCGCGGCCUAUCAGCUUGUUGGUGAGGUAAUGGCUCACCAAGGCGUCGACGGGUAGCCGGCCUGAGAGGGUGACCGGCCACACUGGGACUGAGACACGGCCCAGACUCCUACGGGAGGCAGCAGUGGGGAAUAUUGCACAAUGGGCGAAAGCCUGAUGCAGCAACGCCGCGUGAGGGACGACGGCCUUCGGGUUGUAAACCUCUUUUAGCAGGGAAGAAGCGAAAGUGACGGUACCUGCAGAAAAAGCGCCGGCUAACUACGUG
rnacentral:rRNA from 1 species